UGGGGAAUAUUGCACAAUGGGCGCAAGCCUGAUGCAGCCAUGCCGCGUGUAUGAAGAAGGCCUUCGGGUUGUAAAGUACUUUCAGCGGGGAGGAAGGGAGUAAAGUUAAUACCUUUGCUCAUUGACGUUACCCGCAGAAGAAGCACUGGCUAACUCCGUGCCAGCAGCCGCGGUAAUACGGAGGGUGCAAGCGUUAAUCGGAAUUACUGGGCGUAAAGCGCACGCAGGCGGUCUGUCAAGUCAGAUGUGAAAUCCCCGGGCUCAACCUGGGAACUGCAUUCGAAACUGGCAGGCUAGAGUCGUGUAGAGGGGGGUAGAAGUCCAGGUGUAGAGGUGAAAUGCGUAGAGAUCUGGAGGAAUACCGGUGGCGAAGGCGGCCCGCUGGACAAGGACUGACGCUCAGGUGCGAAAGCGUGGGGAGCAAACAGG
rnacentral:rRNA from 1 species